UCGUCACACUAUCAUUAACUGAAUCCAUAGGUUAAUGAGGCGAACCGGGGGAACUGAAACAUCUAAGUACCCCGAGGAAAAGAAAUCAACCGAGAUUCCCCCAGUAGCGGCGAGCGAACGGGGAGGAGCCCAGAGCCUGAAUCAGCAUGUGUGUUAGUGGAAGCGUCUGGAAAGGCGCGCGAUACAGGGUGACAGCCCCGUACACAAAAGCGCAUGUGCUGUGAGCUCGAUGAGUAGGGCGGGACACGUGGUAUCCUGUCUGAAUAUGGGGGGACCAUCCUCCAAGGCUAAAUACUCCUGACUGACCGAUAGUGAACCAGUACCGUGAGGGAAAGGCGAAAAGAACCCCGGCGAGGGGAGUGAAAAAGAACCUGAAACCGUGUACGUACAAGCAGUGGGAGCACAGGUUUACCUGUGUGACUGCGUACCUUUUGUAUAAUGGGUCAGCGACUUAUAUUCUGUAGCAAGGUUAACCGUAUAGGGGAGCCGCAGGGAAACCGAGUCUUAAUUGGGCGUUAAGUUGCAGGGUAUAGACCCGAAACCCGGUGAUCUAGCCAUGGGCAGGUUGAAGGUUGGGUAACACUAACUGGAGGACCGAACCGACUAAUGUUGAAAAAUUAGCGGAUGACCUGUGGCUGGGGGUGAAAGGCCAAUCAAACCGGGAGAUAGCUGGUUCUCCCCGAAAGCUAUUUAGGUAGCGCCUCGUGAAUUCAUCUCCGGGGGUAGAGCACUGUUUCGGCUAGGGGGCCAUCCCGGCUUACCAACCCGAUGCAAACUGCGAAUACCGGAGAAUGUUAUCACGGGAGACACACGGCGGGUGCUAACGUCCGUCGUGAAGAGGGAAACAACCCAGACCGCCAGCUAAGGUCCCAAAGUCAUGGUUAAGUGGGAAACGAUGUGGGAAGGCCCAGACAGCCAGGAUGUUGGCUUAGAAGCAGCCAUCAUUUAAAGAAAGCGUAAUAGCUCACUGGUCGAGUCGGCCUGCGCGGAAGAUGUAACGGGGCUAAACCAUGCACCGAAGCUGCGGCAGCGA
rnacentral:rRNA from 1 species